rnacentral:misc_RNA from 1 species
CUGUUAUUCAGGUGGCCAAUCUAGUUACUUUGCAGGGAGAGGACCAGCCAUUUAUUCGUAAUGUCAUGACUUUAAACUCAUGCUCUCCUAUAGUUGGUGUAGAUGUGAUGUCAUUUGUUACAGAAAGAGAUGUCCUACUGGCUUUGGGGGGGUUUUUUCCUGNUAUCCGUGAAGUGGACCCAGAUAUUAUAAUUGGAUAUAAUAUCUGCAAAUUUGACUUGCCGUAUCUCAUUGAGAGAGCUGAAACUUUGGGAAUAGCAGAAUUUCCUCUAUUGGGCCGUGUCAGGAAUAGCAGGGUUCGGG